rnacentral:rRNA from 1 species
GACGUAGGGCGCGAGCGUUGUCCGGAUUUAUUGGGCGUAAAGAGCUCGUAGGCGGUUUGUCGCGUCGUUCGUGAAAACUCACAGCUUAACUGUGAGCUUGCGGUCGAUACGGGCAGGCUAGAGUUCGGUAGGGGAGACUGGAAUUCCUGGUGUAGCGGUGAAAUGCGUAGAUAUCGAGAGGAACACCUGCGGCGAAGGCGGGUAGCUGGGCCGACACUGACGCUGAUGCGCGAAAGCCAGGGGAGCGAACGGG